AGUGAACGCUGGCGGUAGGCCUAACACAUGCUAGUCGAACGGCAGCACAGGAGAGCUUGCACUCUGGGUGGCGAGUGGCGGACGGGUGAGGAAUACAUCGGAAUCUACCUUUUCGUGGGGGAUAACGUAGGGAAACUUACGCUAAUACCGCAUACGACCUACGGGUGAAAGUGGGGACCGGCAAGGCCUCACGCGAUUAA
rnacentral:rRNA from 1 species